AACAGUAACAUAAACAGUAACAGUAACAAGGCCAAAGCUACCCAGCAACAGCAGCCGCAGCAAAUCUCCAAAACGAAUGCAAACGAAUGAAACGAAAGAAUGUACAACAACACCAGCAAAAAAAUAUAUAAUACGAGUAUUAACAAUACUAUGAAAAUAGAAAAGCGCCUGCUCUGGCUACGGCUACAGCUAUGGCUGAGGCUUUCGACGGCUCCUGCUUCUGCUCCUAAGUCCCGUUUCCCUGUGCUUCCCGAUUCCGGUGCAUGUGCGUUAAGUUGCUAUAAUCGAAUAUAACUUGAAUCGAGCAAUCGAUCAAUCUGAAUCACAAUAAAUAAACGAGCAAAUCAAUGCAAAAUGCAAUUAAACAAGGCAAUCAAAACCAGAAAUAAAAAAACAUACAAUAAGAAAAAAACAAAGAAGUCGAUAAGAUAAACUGAUUAAAAAACAACAAACAAAAACAAAAACAAAAACCAACGCUCGCUCGCUCGCUCGAACGCCCGCCCGCCCGCUCGCUAAAGCAAAGACAACCACCACAAACAAAACAAACAACACUUGGCGCACGCUUAGCACAUUUGCAUCCACACACACACACACACAUACACCUUCCACACACACACACACACACGAAGAAA